UACAGAGGUCUCAAGCGUUGUUCGGAUUCAUUGGGCGUAAAGGGUGUGUAGGUGGCGCGCUAAGUCGGGUGUGAAAUUUCGGAGCUUAACUCCGAAACUGCAUUCGAUACUGGCGUGCUUGAGGACUGGAGAGGAGACUGGAAUUCAUGGUGUAGCAGUGAAAUGCGUAGAGAUCAUGAGGAAGACCAGUGGCGAAGGCGGGUCUCUGGACAGUUCCUGACACUGAUGAGCGAAAGCCAGGGGAGCAAACAGG
rnacentral:rRNA from 1 species